rnacentral:rRNA from 1 species
GAUGAACGCUGGCGGCGUGCUUAACACAUGCCAGUCGAACGAAGCACUUUAUUUGAUUUCCUUCGGGACUGAUUAUUUUGUGACUGAGUGGCGGACGGGUGAGUAACGCGUGGGUAACCUGCCUUGUACAGGGGGAUAACAGUUGGAAACGGCUGCUAAUACCGCAUAAGCGCACAGCAUCGCAUGAUGCAGUGUGAAAAACUCCGGUGGUAUAAGAUGGACCCGCGUUGGAUUAGCUAGUUGGUGAGGUAACGGCCCACCAAGGCGACGAUCCAUAGCCGACCUGAGAGGGUGACCGGCCACAUUGGGACUGAGACACGGCCCAAACUCCUACGGGAGGCAGCAGUGGGGAAUAUUGCACAAUGGGCGAAAGCCUGAUGCAGCGACGCCGCGUGAGCGAAGAAGUAUUUCGGUAUGUAAAGCUCUAUCAGCAGGGAAGAUAAUGACGGUACCUGACUAAGAAGCACCGGCUAAAUACG